CACGUAGGGGGGCAAGCGUUGUCCGGAUUUAUUGGGCGUAAAGAGCUCGUAGGCGGCCUGUUGCGUCCGCUGUGAAAACCCGCGGCUUAACCGUGGGCUUGCAGCCGAUACGGGCAGGCUAGAGUUCGGUAGGGGGAGACUGGAAUUCCUGGUGUAGCGGUGAAAUGCGCAGAUAUCAGGAGGAACACCGGUGGCGAAGGCGGGUCUCUGGGCCGAUACUGACGCUGAGGAGCGAAAGCGUGGGGAGCGAACAGG
rnacentral:rRNA from 1 species